UGUGAGCAGGAGUGAGACAGGGCCAGAGGGGUUCGGUUUGAGCAGGAGUGAGAUAGGGCCAGAGGGUCUCGGUGUGAGCAGGAGUGAGACAGGGCCAGAGGGUCACACUGUGAGCAGGAGUGAGACAGGGCCAGAGGGUCUCGGUGUGAGCAGCAGUGAGACAGGGCCAGAGGGUCUCAAUGUGAGCAGGAGUGAGACGGGGUCAGAGGGUCUCAGUGUGAGCAGGAGUGAGUAGAUCUCAGCAGCAGUCAGAGCAAUAUCUUGCACUCGGAGGUGACAGUAGCGCUGUCACAGUAGCGCUGCAUGUUUAACACACUUCUCUGUCUGUCCAGCAGGGGGCAGACCUGGGGUCAGUGGAAACGAUGCCGAGCAGAGUGUGGGGGACAGCGGGGGUGUCAGCGUCACGCUGGCUGCUGCUGGUGACGAUCUUCGGGCGUCUGGGGCGCCCCUCCGCAGAUCUGUCCUACCUCGGCUCCUCGGUCAGUGUGCAGCCCCUGGGGCAGGGGGCCAGCCUGCAGGUGUCAGUGCAGUACAGUGUACUGGCUGCCCGGCCCUGCCCUGCGGCCCUGCCGGGGAUGUGUGGGGAAGACAACUGCACCUCCCUCGCUGCCCCCCAGGGCCUCACACCACACCCCGGCUGGUGUCUCCUCCGCGGGGGGGUUAUCGUCCCUGGAAAUCACUCCUCUCUACUGCAGCUGAGGCCCAGUCUGUGCUGCUGGCGUGCUGCAGACAGAGCUGCAGUGGUUCUACCCCUCUCGGCCCAGCUGGCUCUGCGCUCCGACACCGGUGCUGUGAACAGCCCCCCGCAGGCGGCCCUCCUGCCCCCAGUCAGGCUCGUUGCAAACUGCCCUCGCCAGAUCAAUCUCAGCGUGUGGGACGCGGACGGAGACAGGGUACGCUGUCGCUACGGGCAACAGGAGCAAGGAGAGUGCCAGCUGUGCUCCCAGCAUGCCUUCCUGCAGAUAGACGAGGAGCGCUGUGUGCUGAACUACAGAGGCUCUGGGCCCAUGGGGCAGUUCUCACUGGAGCUGGUGCUGGAGGAUUUCCCCCACAAGCCCCUCAACCUGACCCACGGCACCGACAGAGAACAAGGACUCCCCUCCCUGAGCAGAACCACAGACCCACUAAGCUCCAUUCCACUGCAGCUCACCAUCACUGUGGAAGCUGCAGUUCCUGACUGUGACCCUGCGUCUCAGCCCAGGUUCACACGCCAGACGCCAGCAGGAGGCGCAAGCUUAGCUCUGCUGCCCUAUGAAGAGCUCAACAUCACUUUCUCCUCCCAGAGCCCUCUGGACAGGGUGUCAGAAAUCGCAGUCAUUGGUCCUCCUGGCCUCCAGGUGUCAGCACUGCAAGAGGACAAUACAGAGGGAGCAGGGCUUCUGGCAUCAGUCAACAUCAUGUGGAUCAGAACGACCAAUCAGCUGCUCCUCCUGAUUCCUGUCUGCUUCACUGUUAAUACUGCCAGGUUCCAGUCAGAGUCCCGGUGCCUGUGGAUUGAACAGAGGAAGCCAGGCUCCGCCCCCCCCGGAUCAGGUAACAAGUAA
rnacentral:lncRNA from 1 species